rnacentral:rRNA from 1 species
AUUGAACGCUGGCGGCAGGCUUAACACAUGCAAGUCGAGCGGGGUGAUGGUGCUUGCACUAUCACUUAGCGGCGGACGGGUGAGUAGUGCUUAGGAAUCUGCCUAUUAGUGGGGGACAACAUCUCGAAAGGGAUGCUAAUACCGCAUACGUCCUACGGGAGAAAGCAGGGGAUCACUUGUGACCUUGCGCUAAUAGAGGAGCCUAAGUCGGAUUAGCUAGUUGGUGGGGUAAGGGCCUACCAAGGCGACGAUCUGUAGCGGGUCUGAGAGGAUGAUCCGCCACACUGGGACUGAGACACGGCCCAGACUCCUACGGGAGGCAGCAGUGGGGAAUAUUGGACAAUGGGGGGAACCCUGAUCCAGCCAUGCCGCGUGUGUGAAGAAGGCCUUAUGGUUGUAAAGCACUUUAAGCGAGGAGGAGGCUCUUUUGGUUAAUACCUAAGAUGAGUGGACGUUACUCGCAGAAUAAGCACCGGCUAACUCUGUGCCAGCAGCCGCGGUAA